GACGAACGCUGGCGGCGUGCUUAACACAUGCAAGUCGAACGGAAAGGCCCUGCUUUUGUGGGGUGCUCGAGUGGCGAACGGGUGAGUAACACGUGAGUAACCUGCCCUUGACUUUGGGAUAACUUCAGGAAACUGGGGCUAAUACCGGAUAGGAGCUCCUGCUGCAUGGUGGGGGUUGGAAAGUUUCGGCGGUUGGGGAUGGACUCGCGGCUUAUCAGCUUGUUGGUGGGGUAGUGGCUUACCAAGGCUUUGACGGGUAGCCGGCCUGAGGGGGUGACCGGCCACAUUGGGACUGAGAUACGGCCCAGACUCCUACGGGAGGCAGCAGCGGGGAAUAUUGCACAAUGGGCGGAAGCCUGAUGCAGCAACGCCGCGUGCGGGAUGACGGCCUUCGGGUUGUAAACCGCUUUCGCCUGCGACGAAGCGUGAGUGACGGUAAUGGGUAAAGAAGCACCGGCUAACUACGUG
rnacentral:rRNA from 1 species